AAACCAGAAUUACGGUUUUCAUGUGGGAUAUGACUGAAAUANNNNNNNNNNNNNNNNNNNNNNNNNNNNNNNNNNAUUCGGCCGCUGCGGCCGCGGACUACCGGCCCCGGGAGGUGGAGUGAGGGAGGCUCCCGCCCCCUCUUUCUGGGUUCCCUUUGCCCCGCGCCGUCGUGCCGAGGGCUUCGGGCUUUGUGUGCGUGGGGAGGACGGGCUUGAGUGCGUGCCUUCUGGGACGAGGCUUCCGCACCCCUUGUCGCUGGUGGGGAGACCUCAGCCCCGCCGCGUGAGCCCGGGGGCGCGUCACUAGGCGCUCUUCGCCGGCCUGGUCGCCGUCCAGAGACGCUCGCGUCUGGCCUCCUUCCGAGCCGGGGAUCCUGUCCCAGCGCGGGAGCUUCCUGUUGACUGUUGGUCGAGCCAGCCUUGCCGGGAGGGGAACCGGAGCCGGGUUCUCCUGGCGAGCUCCGGGGAGCGGUGGCCUCGGCUGAUGCCCCGGCAGCCUCCCCCGGGGGGACAGGUGUGCAUACCCUGCCGGACGGCUGCGCCCCCGAAAGUGCGGCAGCCCCGGCGAGAACUCGGCUCGGGGAAUCCGGGCACCUUUCCCGUGUGCUCGGCGGCCGGAGGCUGGAGGACAGGGAGAGGGUCCGGAAGGAACAGACCGAGCCCGCAGGCUCUUCUGCCGAAGCCACUGCCGCGCUGUGCGACCCGAAGCCUGACUCCCCCCUGCACUUCCUCCUCGGUGGGGCUGUCGGGACCAUUCGUGUGGCUCACUAAAAUGAAGCAAAGGGGAGCCUAGGCGUUCCCGUUGCCAAAAAGGUACCCAUAGUGUGGCAUGGUGCUUUAAUUUGAUUUAGCUACUAGAAUUUCACUUCCCCUUAACUGUAUUGGGGAUUAAACAUUUUCAUGCAGGUUUAUAGUCCGCUUUUUUUUGUUUGUUUGUUUUUAAUAGAAAAUAAGAUGGGCAGCCCGGGUGGCCCAGCAGUUUAGCGCCACCUUCAGCCCGGGGUGUGAUCCCAGGGACCCGGGAUCGAGUCCCGCGUCGGACUCCCUGCAUGGAGCCUGCUUCUCCCUCUGCCUGUGUCUCUGCCUCUCUCUCUCUCUCACUCUCUCUCUAUCAUAAAUAAAUAAAUAAAUAAAUAAAUAUUUAAAAAAAGA
rnacentral:lncRNA from 12 species